rnacentral:misc_RNA from 1 species
AUGACGUAUGUAGUGGGAGGCUGUUUCCGUCGAGUGAUGUAGUGUGUACGUCGUGUAUCGUGAUGCAGAUUAUCAGAGGCGAUUUAGUUAUUUGAAUAAUUUUUUUAGUGCAUCUUUGGAGUCUUUAAGUAUCGCACGAGUGUAAAAUUACUUUCCAUGACGUGUUUGGAGUAUGGGUGUGUGUUUCAGUUGUUGCCUGGGUGACGACCACAGGAAGUACAAGAGAACCAGGGUUUUUAGCACUGAAAGUCUUAUUGAGACAGAGACUCAACCAAAAAGAAUCGUAAUCAAUGGGAAGCAAUGGAAAUGGAAAGACCAGCAGUAAUAGAAACUCAAGCAGAAGCACUAAGAGUUGCCCAAUCAGCACAAGCAAAUGAAAACACAAAUUCUGCUAAAUUAGUUUUUUGGAAUAAUCAUCUUUACUGGUUGAAAGAUGCAGAAGAUUGGAGAAAUAGAAGUCAAUUUAGUUCUCAUGGAGAAGCAUCUCAAAUGGAAGCAGCAGUACCACUUCUCACAUGUGAUAGUUCUGUAGGAGAUAGUAGUAGUAUUACUGGAAGUCAAAAGUGGGAAAAACUUCCUGCUGGAAAUGGAACACCUGGUUCUUCUCUUGAUUUGGAAUGGGAAAAUGAAGCUGGACUUACACCACCACCUCAUUAUCUUAUUCCCACAACUGAUGAUCUCACUUGGUUUGUAUUGAGUGAAAAUAGUAGUAAUCAUUCUCAUCCAUCUACUCCAGUCUCUAAUGGAAAUGAUUUAGAAUGGGAUUUUACAAGUGUUCAAGUAACUGAAGACAGUAAAGAACAAGUAAUAAAUACAGAUUUUAUAGAAAAUGGUAAUAGCAUAGAAAGAUGAUCUUACAGUUCACGACCCCUUUUACUCUCUACUCGUCUACAAAAACUAUCUGUAGAUAUUGAGACUGUUGCAACAGUACGACCAAGAAAUUUGAUUGGCCGACCAAGCUUUUCUAAUGCUGCUGUUUUCGAUGUGGUCGUCGCGAUCCAGGCGAACCGAAUCAACAAAGUCUUUCAGUAAUCAGGGUAAUGGGCCUUAACCCAAAGGAAAUGCAACCGAUAUGUGGUAAUGUAAUCUUCCAGCAAAAUCAAACAAAGAAAUAUUUACUACAUUUUUCAAAUGUAAAACAAAAAAAAAUUAAAAAUUUGAUGCCUAACAAUUGUAUCAUAAAAACCAAAAUAUGUAAAUUGACGGAAAAAACAUUUUAAUUAAGAUUAAUUAACCAAUAUGGUUGACGAUAUCGUUUAGUUUUGUAUUUUAACUUCACUGUUAAAUGGAAUAAUUGCCUUCUUUGUUGAUUGUAGUGAUCCUAUGUAGUCCUUUAAAUCAGUUAUUACAAAAUCAUUUUAAUAGUAAAACUUCUAUGUCAAAAUUACAAUAUCUAUAUAUACAUUCAUAUAGGUAAAUAUAAUGAUUUUGUUGUGUAUGUGUGUUUCUCUGUAAUUUAAUUUA